GCUGGACAGACUGCUGCCCUGCUGGCUGGCUUGGUCGCUCUGGAGACAAGGACCAAGAGACAAUCAUGCCUGUGUCUCUGUAUAUAUUUCUGAAGAAUACCCAUGAAGCCUUCCCAUUUCUCCUUGAAAAACAAUGUUCCAUCUGGUUUCACUUCCACAAAACUGUUUCAAGGAGAGGCAGAAAUCACAAGUUUGUAUGGAUGAUUUAUUUUGUUGUUUUAUUUGCUUUAAAGCAACCAUGCAUGAUGGGAAAUGUAGGUAUCAUUUCUUCAGCACACAAGAAGGAAACCUUAUCUCUUCUUGGCAUGAAGUACUGUGAAAAUGGUGGGUCAGGUGAUGGGAGGAGGAAAGAUUUAGUGUUGUUAUGUUCUCUAAAAAUAUUCUGUUUGAAAAGACUGUCAUCCUGUGUUCUAAGGACACAGGGGUUAUGGUUAUUUGAUAAAUACUUUCAUCUUACUAAACUAAUACAUUUUAGAGUUUAGAUCUCCCUUUGUUAAGUAGGAGUAUUGCUUAUAUGAUGUCCUCUGAAAUAUUAUUGUACCAUUAUUAUUUUUCAUCCCAUACCUAAAAAACUACAAUGCCUUAAAAUAU